rnacentral:rRNA from 1 species
UACGUAGGGUGCGAGCGUUGUCCGGAAUUAUUGGGCGUAAAGAGCUCGUAGGCGGUUUGGCACGUCUGCUGUGAAAUCCCGAGGCUCAACCUCGGGCCUGCAGUGGGUACGGGCAGACUGGAGUGCGGUAGGGGAGAAUGGAAUUCCUGGUGUAGCGGUGAAAUGCGCAGAUAUCAGGAGGAACACCGAUGGCGAAGGCAGGUCUCUGGGCCACUACUGACGCUGAGAAGCGAAAGCGUGGGGAGCGAACAGG